AAUUUUUAUAUUUAUUUUGAUAGUACUUGUACCUGGAUGUGUUGCAGUAUGUGGUUAACUGAUAAAAAAAUGUUGAAAACAAACAAAAGUUCCUUCAGUAGUUCAGCACAGUUGGCCCCAAAAUGGUUCCAUGUUCUCAGUUGAGGCUACUCUCUCAAUAAAGGGACCCAAGACUAAUUGGAUAACUGAAACA